rnacentral:rRNA from 1 species
GCACCCGCGGUAAUUCCAGCACCAAUAGCGUAUAUUAAUGCUGCUGCUGUUAAAAAGCUCGUAGUUGGAUCAAGAGCCGGACAGUGCACGGUGGCCCCACUUAGCUGGAGGCCCCUGGCCGAAAGCGAGGUGGCGGAACAACCCCGUGCGCUAAACUGUCCGCUCUAACAGGCCGAAACGGUUCCCUGCGAGUAGGUCCCUUCAUUGGGGUCGAAAGCGUCUACGCAUCAACCAUAUGCAUACGGGACGUCGGCCAAUGUUACUGUGAACAAACCAGCGUGUCCAAAGCAGGCGGUUAGCCUGAAUGUUCGAGCAUGGAAUAACAAGGGACCGAUCCUCUCGGUUCUUUUUGUUGGUUUUUAACCCGGGAAGGAGCAAUUCAGGUGACGGUGUCUGAGUUAGGUUCCCCUCCGUCUCGACGGAGGCCCUAACUAGGCCGUCAUCUUACGGGAUAAAUAGGGACUGACGGGGUCGUACGUACCUCCACGUCAGAGGUGAAAUUCUUAGAUCGUGGGGAGACGAACUUCUGCGAAAGCAUUCGACAAGAAUGUCUUCAUUAAUCAAGAACGAGAGUGUGGGGAUCGAAGAUGAUCAGAUACCGUCGUAGUCCACUACUGUAAACAAUGCCAUCUCAGGAUUGAGAAGCGGGACUCUAUGUCCUUCACAGCACUAACCCCUGAAACGAGAAAUCAAAGAUUAUGGGUUCAGGGGGGAGUACAUUCGCAAGGCUGAAACUUAAAGGAAUUGACGGAAUGACACCACAAGGCGUGGAGUAUGCGGCUUAAUUUGACUCAACACGGGGAAUUUUACUAGGUCAGGACAAUGUAAGGAUUGACAGGUUGAGAGCUCUUUCUCGAUCCACUGUGUGGUGGUGCAUGGCCGCUCCUGGCUGGUGGAGUGAUUUGUCUGGUUGAUUCCGUUAACGAACGAGAUCUCGACCCUUAAAUAGGUGCUCCUGUCGAUUGUAGCUUCAUCUCCGCUCGCUUGCGAGAUUGGAGUGGGGCGAGACUGGGAGACCACUUCUUAAGGGGACUGUGUGCGUCUCUAGCACGCGGAAGAGCGAGCCAAUAGCAGGUCUGUGGUGCUCCUAAAUGUCCUAGGCUGCACGCGCACUACACUGAUGCAAUAAACGAGUCUGAGUGCCUUCUGGCAACCUACCUGGAAACGGGUGGGAAAUCUUUUGAACUUGCAUCGUGAUGAG